GAGUUUGAUCGUGGCUCAGAUUGAACGCUGGCGGCAUGCCUUACACAUGCAAGUCGAACGGCAGCACGGGAGCUUGCUCCUGGUGGCGAGUGGCGAACGGGUGAGUAAUGCAUCGGAACGUAUCCUGGAGUGGGGGAUAACGUAGCGAAAGUUACGCUAAUACCGCAUAUUCUGUGAGCAGGAAAGCGGGGGACCUUCGGGCCUCGCGCUCUUGGAGCGGCCGAUGUCGGAUUAGCUAGUUGGUGAGGUAAAGGCUCACCAAGGCGACGAUCCGUAGCAGGUCUGAGAGGAUGAUCUGCCACACUGGAACUGAGACACGGUCCAGACUCCUGCGGGAGGCAGCAGUGGGGAAUUUUGGACAAUGGGGGCAACCCUGAUCCAGCCAUGCCGCGUGAGUGAAGAAGGCCUCGG
rnacentral:rRNA from 1 species